rnacentral:rRNA from 1 species
UACGUAGGUGGCGAGCGUUGUCCGGAUUUACUGGGCGUAAAGCGCGCGCAGGCGGACUGAUCAGUCUGGGGUGAAAUCUCACGGCUCAACUGGGAGGGUGCGCCGAAUACUGAAUGACUUGGAGUGCGGGAGAGGAAAGUGGAAUUCCUGGUGUAGCGGUGAAAUGCGUAGAUAUCAGGAGGAACACCGGUGGUGUAGACGGCUUUCUGGACCGUAACUGACGCUGAGACACGAAAGCGUGGGUAGCAAACAGG